rnacentral:lncRNA from 10 species
CAGGGUCCAGGUUUCGUCACAGUCUCCUCUGUCCAAUCCCUGUGCCUGGCGCCGGGCGCGGCUACCAAUCAGACGGCUGAAACCGCGUUGGGUUGCAUCAUGUGCCCCUGGCUUGGUGACAGCGGGGAGGGGCGGGGAAACAGGGAGGGAGGGGACGAGGCUAUGUUAGCCACGCCCCAGUCUCUGAGGUCGGACGCGGGGUGCUAGUGACGUCACGGAAGCCCGCCUUCAGGCUCUUGUUUUAACUCUUGGCUCACCAACCAAUUAAAAACCCUGUUGAGGAGUUUUGGCACAGGACAGAGGAAAACCCAACUGCCGCUCUCUGAACCCCUGUCUCGUCUCAGGGUCCCUGAGAAAGGGAAACGCCUUGGCUACUAAGAGGAUGUCCAGACCUGCGAGGACACAGCUCUGGAGGUGGCCCUCCACGUCUGGGGAGAAGGAGUCCAGUUUCUCCAGUUUCUCGGUCUGAUUCAGCUCUCCCCCACCCUUUUUUUUUUUUCUUCCAGACAGGGUCUCGCUGUCUUGCCCAGGCUGGGGUGCGGUGGAGCCAUUAUAGCUUACUACAGCCUCGAACUCCUCGGCUCAAGGGAUCCUCCCACCUCAGCCUCUCCAGGAGCUGGGACUACAGGCGUACACCACCAUGCCUGGCUAAUUUUUUAAAUUUAUUUUUUGUAGAAAUGGAGUCUCACUAUGUUGCCCAGGCUGGUCUUUAACUCCUGGGCUCAAGCGAUCCUCCCAGCUUGGCUUCCCAAAGUGCUGGGAUUACAGGUAUGAGCCACUGCACUCGGCCUCACCUCCUUUUCGAGGUGAAGGAGUUGAGGCAGGCACUCUGGGAAGGUGCAGACCUAGGCCGGAAAUAAAAUCGAAUAUAGAGCUCACAGCUCACCGAACUCAGCUGGGGAGACUGACUUGGAUUCUAAGGAAUUCUGUGGUCUCCGAAUACAGUGGAGGCCUCUUAGGGCUAAUAUCCUGCGGCUCUGUAUAGGAAGGGGUUAACUCAGGCGCUAGGCGGCCGGGGCGGGGCCGCGGCCUCCGCGGGCGCGCGCGCGCGUUGCUGACUCAGCGGCGAUUCCAGAGAUCUUGGAUGGAGGGUUCCAGACUCCAGGCUGGAGCGGUGGGGACAGCUUUGCUGACCGAUAUUAAACCGCGAGAACUGUCGCACGUGAACACCAUCCUGCCCGUUGUGAUUGUGUAAAACAAAGACCAGGAAUCAAUGCGAGCGUGUCUAGGAGGCCAUCUCGGCCGUGGCCUCUCUCCACAUGAGAGUGGCCUGUACUGAGAGAUUACCUAGGAAUGGAGAUACCACAACCAUCUUCCAGGUCUGGAUCCCAGGCCCUUGCCUGCAGAGAAGUUUUUUCCCAUAUCCAACCUCUCUCUUUCCGGCCAGCUCAGUGCAUUUCCUCUGACCCAGUCCCCAGAGAAGAUGGAGAACAGCAAAUAUCCCUCACCCCCACCACACCCGUGAUAACUACUCUGGAAAUUUGCAGAUUGCAAUCCCUCCUAGGUUUUUCUUCAAGGUGGAAAAACUUCAACUCAAAUUUUACAAUUCAUUUUUUCAUUUUUUCUUUCCAUCACAGAC